rnacentral:rRNA from 1 species
CCGAAUUCGUCGACAACAGAGUUUGAUCCUGGCUCAGAGUGAACGCUGGCGGUAGGCCUAACACAUGCAAGUCGAACGGCAGCACAGUAAGAGCUUGCCCUUAUGGGUGGCGAGUGGCGGACGGGUGAGGAAUACAUCGGAAUCUACUUUUUCGUGGGGGAUAACGUAGGGAAACUUACGCUAAUACCGCAUACGACCUACGGGUGAAAGCAGGGGAUCUUCGGACCUUGCGCGAUUGAAUGAGCCGAUGUCGGAUUAGCUAGUUGGCGGGGUAAGGGCCCACCAAGGCGACGAUCCGUAGCUGGUCUGAGAGGAUGAUCAGCCACACUGGAACUGAGACACGGUCCAGACUCCUACGGGAGGCAGCAGUGGGGAAUAUUGGACAAUGGGCGCAAGCCUGAUCCAGCCAUACCGCGUGGGUGAAGAAGGCCUUCGGGUUGUAAAGCCCUUUUGUUGGGAAAGAAAUCCAGCCGGCUAAUACCUGGUUGGGAUGACGGUACCCAAAGAAUAAGCACCGGCUAACUUCGUGCCAGCAGCCGCGGUAAUACGAAGGGUGCAAGCGUUACUCGGAAUUACUGGGCGUAAAGCGUGCGUAGGUGGUUGUUUAAGUCUGUUGUGAAAGCCCUGGGCUCAACCUGGGAACUGCAGUGGAAACUGGACAACUAGAGUGUGGUAGAGGGUAGCGGAAUUCCCGGUGUAGCAGUGAAAUGCGUAGAGAUCGGGAGGAACAUCCAUGGCGAA